rnacentral:rRNA from 1 species
GGACUACCCGGGUAUCUAAUCCUGUUUGCUCCCCACGCUUUCGCGCCUCAGCGUCAGUAUCGGACCAGGUCGCCGCCUUCGCCACCGGUGUUCUUCCCAAUAUCUACGAAUUUCACCUCUACACUGGGAAUUCCACGACCCUCUUCCGAACUCAAGCACACAUGUAUCAAGCGCAGCCCCCAGGUUGAGCCCAGGAAUUUCACGCCUGACUGUGCAUGCCGCCUACGCGCCCUUUACGCCCAGUCAAUCCGAGUAACGCUAGCCCCCUUCGUAUUACCGCGGCUGCUGGCAC